rnacentral:rRNA from 1 species
UUCGCAAUGCCCGAAAGGGUGACGAAGCGACGCCGCGUGCGGGAAGAAGGCCUUCGGGUUGUAAACCGCUGUCGGGAGUUAGGAAAUGCAAGGAUGUUAAUAGCGUCUUUGCUUGACUAAGGCUCCGGAGGAAGCCACGGCUAACUCUGUGCCAGCAGCCGCGGUAAUACAGAGGCGGCAAGCGUUGUUCGGAAUUAUUGGGCGUAAAGAGCACGUAGGCGGCCGUGUAAGUCGGUUGUGAAAGCCUUCCGCUCAACGGGAGAACGGCAUCCGAUACUGCAUGGCUCGAGUGCGGGAGGGGAGAGUGGAACUUCUGGUGGAGCGGUGAAAUGCGUAGAUAUCAGAAGGAACACCGGCGGCGAAGGCGACUCUCCGGCCCGUAACUGACGCUGAGUGUGCGAAAGCUAGGGGAGCAAACGGGAUUAGAUACCCCGGUAGUCCUAGCCGUAAACGAUGGGCACUAAGUAGAGGGGUUUU